CCUACGGGAGGCAGCAGUGGGGAAUAUUGCACAAUGGGGGAAACCCUGAUGCAGCGACGCCGCGUGAGUGAAGAAGUAUCUCGGUAUGUAAAGCUCUAUCAGCAGGGAAGAAAAUGACGGUACCUGACUAAGAAGCCCCGGCUAACUACGUGCCAGCAGCCGCGGUAAUACGUAGGGGGCAAGCGUUAUCCGGAUUUACUGGGUGUAAAGGGAGCGUAGACGGCGCUGCAAGUCCGGAGUGAAAGCCCAUGGCUUAACCAUGGUACUGCUCUGGAAACUGUGAAGCUGGAGUGCAGGAGAGGUAAGCGGAAUUCCUGGUGUAGCGGUGAAAUGCGUAGAUAUCAGGAGGAACACCGGCGGCGAAGGCGGCUUACUGGACUGUAACUGACGUUGAGGCUCGAAGGCGUGGGGAGCAAACAGGAUUAGAUACCCCAGUAGUC
rnacentral:rRNA from 1 species